rnacentral:tRNA from 1 species
GGAGAGAUGCUCGAGAGGCUGAAGAGGCACGCCUGGAAAGCGUGUAUACGCCUAAAGCGUAUCGCGGGUUCGAAUCCCGCUCUCUCCGCAA